AAUCUGUGCCCUGCAGUGUUCAAGGCUCUGGGUGUAGCAGUGAGUGAAGUAGCCCCUGCCCUGAAGGAGCAGGCAUCCAAGUGGUGAAGAGGAAGGCAGAUGAUGGUUCCAUAAACCAGGCAGGAGAGCCAUGGAGAGAAGAGAACAAAGAGGGCAGCGCUACAGACACGGACUUGGAAAGACUGACGUUGACAGAUCUGACAGAGGCCAUGGGCUCCACGGUUUGCCAGCGUGUGCCUGAAGAACCCAGCCCCUCCCCAUGCUCUGCCUGGAGCCAAGCUAACGACUGCUGCUCACGGGACAGUGUCUAGACCUAUUGUUUCAUCGCACUGACACGGAGAGUAUCUGUUGCUCAGGUUAUCAAAAUGACCUUCCCUCUUGGCCUCCUCUGUUUGCAGAGACUGUGGCGCUAGUGGGAACAAGGUGGCCAGGGCUGAGUGGAGGUUUGAGAGGCAAGCCAGGGUCGCCACCUGCUGGUUGGAUGUGGCAAUGGCUGCCAGCAACAAGAGCUGGCUGUACACUGAUUGUCUGGGUUUGUUAGGGGUCCUCCUGGUACCAGUGGAAGGGGGUAAAUGGUUUUUAUCUGUAUAUUUCCUCCACUUCUAGCAAGUAGCCUCCCAUUUCUCUACAGUCAUCCCUCUGACUCCCUAAGGGAGAGACUAUUUUUGCUGGUUCUGGAACUUCAAACAUGG
rnacentral:lncRNA from 1 species